GUUAAAAAGCUCGUAGUUGGAUUUCGGAACCGGCCGAUUGGUCCGUCCUCUGGAUCGUGUACUGAUCGGUCUGUUCUUCUUCGCGAAGACCGCGUGUGCUCUUAACUGAGUGGGCGUGGGAUUUGCGACGUUUACUUUGAAAAAAUUAGAGUGUUCAAAGCAGGCAGUCGCUUGAAUAUCUCAGCAUGGAAUAAUAGAAUAGGACUUUGGUCUUAUUUUGUUGGUUUCCGAGACCGAAGUAAUGAUUAAUAGGGACAGUUGGGGGCAUUCGUAUUUCAUUGUCAGAGGUGAAAUUCUUGGAUUUAUGAAAGACGAACUUCUGCGAAAGCAUUUGCCAAGGAUGUUUUCAUUAAUCAAGAACGAAAGUUGGAGGCUCGAAGACGAUCAGAUACCGUCCUAGUUCCAACCAUAAACGAUGCCGUCUGCGGAUCGGAGGUCGCUCAUGUAAGGCUCCUUCGGCACGCUAUGAGAAAUCAAAGACUUCGGGUUCCGGGGGGAGUAUGUUCGCAAGAAUGAAACUUUAAAGGAAUUGACGGAAGGGGCACCACCAAGGAGUGGAAACCUGCG
rnacentral:rRNA from 1 species